AUGCAAGUCGAACGCCCCGCAAGGGGAGUGGCAGACGGGUGAGUAACGCGUGGGAACAUACCCUUUCCUGCGGAAUAGCUCCGGGAAACUGGAAUUAAUACCGCAUACGCCCUACGGGGGAAAGAUUUAUCGGGGAAGGAUUGGCCCGCGUUGGAUUAGCUAGUUGGUGGGGUAAAGGCCUACCAAGGCGACGAUCCAUAGCUGGUCUGAGAGGAUGAUCAGCCACAUUGGGACUGAGACACGGCCCAAACUCCUACGGGAGGCAGCAGUGGGGAAUAUUGGACAAUGGGCGCAAGCCUGAUCCAGCCAUGCCGCGUGAGUGAUGAAGGCCUUAGGGUUGUAAAGCUCUUUCACCGGAGAAGAUAAUGACGGUAUCCGGAGAAGAAGCCCCGGCUAACUUCGUGCCAGCAGCCGCGGUAAUACGAAGGGGGCUAGCGUUGUUCGGAAUUACUGGGCGUAAAGCGCACGUAGGCGGAUAUUUAAGUCAGGGGUGAAAUCCCAGAGCUCAACUCUGGAACUGCCUUUGAUACUGGGUAUCUUGAGUAUGGAAGAGGUAAGUG
rnacentral:rRNA from 1 species